CGGUCUGCCUGCGGGAGGGUCGUCGCCUCCCCGAGGCCUGUCGCCUCCCCGAGGCCUCAGCGUCCCGGGAGCGGCCCCCGCCCCUUUAAUCUUUUCUGAGGGGGGCGUCGCGGGAGCGCGGCCCUUUUGAGAUGCCGCGGGCGGUCGGCCGCCGGAUUUCAGGGCUUCCCCGCCGGCGUCUAGGUGGAGAAGCGCGCUUGCUCGCGGUGGAGUCGGGCGGAGGAGCCGGGGCAGCCUUGGGGAUCCGAGGCCCGGGCGGCCGAAGCUGGGGGCCCGGUCCUAACCCUCUGGACGCGGCAGUUUGUGUGAUCUGCACCUCAGAACUGGGGCCUGAUUUCCUGGAGAGGCUGAGGCUGCCGAGAUGAGUUUCCAGUACCGAGCACUGCAGCUGUAUAUCACCAAACAGUGUUUUGUUUUUCAAAACCUUUUUCCUCUGUCGGCCUUGUCUCACCUUUUCCUUUCUUUUGUUCGUUUUUUCUGUUUCAUUACUUAGGGGAGUGGGCGUUGUCCGUGGUGAAAUAAAAACUGGGACGGGAUCUUCGCCCAGUUGGCGCUUUGUCGGCGCGCUGACCUGUGGUCGAGGCUUGGAGCCGAGCUCUGGAGAGGGCGGAGGCCCCGAGCGGAGAUUUCUACUAUAGAUCAAUGCAGAAUGGAUCAAAACGGAAAGAAGCCUCUCUGGCCAGAAGUCGUCUUCAUUGGAAGAAAUAACAUCCCUAAAGAAGGAACGUGUAAAUCAGGAAUUGAGCCAAGAAAAAGCCUGGGAGGGCCCAGCAAUAAAGAAUCCAUCUGCAAUGCGUAACACAGGAGACGUGGGUUCAAUCCCUGGGUUGGGAAGAUCCCCUGGAGAAGAAAAUGGCAACCCACUCUAGUGUUCUUGGCUGGGAAAUCCCAUGGACAGAGGAGCCUGGCAGGCUACAGUCCAGUUGGACCCAACUUAGCCAACUUAACAUUCAUGUUCAGCUUAUUUCUCAAGAGUGCUUGAAAACUGUUUAUCUCAAGAGAUGGGGGUGUCAGACUCUGAGAUGAAAGGGAGCGUUUAUCUUGUGUGUUCUGUUCAAAAUUGGACU